rnacentral:tRNA from 1 species
UAAGGAUUUAAGUUAAAUAAACUAAUAACCUUCAAAGUUAUAAAUAGAAAAAAAAUCUAAGCCUU